CUGCGCGCGCCGCGAGUGGUUCAGCCCGGGCCCCGGCUCAUUGUGCUCGCCUCAUGCCGGCCCAACUUCGCAGCAGCGCUUGAGGUCCCGGGCCUGUGACCACAAAGAGGGAGCCGGGGGCCGGAAGGGACCGCAGCGGCGGCAGCCGAGGCCCAGACCAGGCCCCCUCCCCUCAGCCUCCCGCCUGCCCGUCUGCCCCGCCCCCGCCGGCGGCGCCGCGCCCCUUCCCCAACCGCCAGACUAGCACAGUGCGGGGGCCGCGCGCGAAGACAUCCGGGAGAAACUGGAGCUGAGGCUGGAGUCGCUCUUGGGGACCGAGCCCGCCGUCUACCCGUGGCCGCUGCCGGUCUACGAGGAAAAGAGACGUAGAGUUACAUCCGGAGAACGGGUUGUUGGGCCACUCCCUGCAGAAGAACCGGGAAGAGUAAGACCAGGAACACAAGUGGAAGAAGAAGAAAGAGAUGAUAAAGUAAAGCCUGGUCACCCCCAGGUUCUGAUAGAAAUAAAGUUUCCAGAAGUUGUGUUCCUGCAAUAAGAAAUAAAGAUGUGACCUUCCAGUUGUGUAAAGGUCUUAAAUGCUGUGUAAGUGCAUCGGGUGCCUACGGAACCUGGAGCUAAAUGGGCUAGUUCUGAGAGAGACUUAACUACGUUAACAAAGGCACCACAGACGGAAGGUGUGGAACUAUUAGAAGCAACCUGGAUGUCAACCCUGCUUUUGGGAGGCAUUUCUGACUACAAGGGCAGGAGAUUCUCUGAAGCCAGAUACGUGAACCUGGAUGCCAAAUCCAUCCUCUCUGAGUGUAGUGGGAAUGUAUGAAGAUGACUGGCCUAAGUCUCAAUUGAAUAAAAAGAUGCCCCAAAAGACAUUUCAACAUUUUCGAAAAGUAGUUAUAAAGUGUGGUUCCUUGUCACACAUCAGGGAUUAUAUAGCCUCCAGUGUGGUUUUUUUUUUGCAGUAAAAUUGUGUCAUUUUAUAUUUGAAAUUUGCAUUAUGAAAAUAAAUCUGUACACGAAGUAAUGCGUAUUUAAUUAAUAUGAAUCAUGUAAAUUUGGUCAUGGCAUUUAAAGUUGGCUUUGACUUUGAAUUAUUUUUAAAUUCAUAGAAAAUAUUGAACUUCUAAUAAAA